rnacentral:rRNA from 1 species
UAUUUAUAAGCCAUUAGGUAGUUAAAAACCAAUAUUUAAUGGCGGUUCUCACCCAUUAAAGAAACUCGCUUUAUAAUCGAAAACACUCGUUAAGUUUUACUAUAUCUAAAAGUUUAUAUACCGCCGUUCAGGAGUGAAGCCCCCUACAACCCCCUAAUUUCAACACACAGAACCCAAAUCAGGUCAAGGUGUAACCUACGAUACAGUAAAAGUAAGUUACAUUAAAUAUAAUUUAAGGACAUUGUAAUAAAACAUUAGAUAAAAAGAGAAUUUAUACGUACAAUAAAGUCAAAAACUCUCUUAGAAAUAAACAAUGAGAAUGC